GACGAACGCUGGCGGCGUGCCUAAUACAUGCAAGUAGGACGCACAGUUUAUACCGUAGCUUGCUACACCAUAGACUGUGAGUUGCGAACGGGUGAGUAACGCGUAGGUAACCUGCCUAUUAGAGGGGGAUAACUAUUGGAAACGAUAGCUAAUACCGCAUAACAGUAUGUAACACAUGUUAGAUGCUUGAAAGAUGCAAUUGCAUCGCUAGUAGAUGGACCUGCGUUGUAUUAGCUAGUAGGUAGGGUAAUGGCCUACCUAGGCGACGAUACAUAGCCGACCUGAGAGGGUGAUCGGCCACACUGGGACUGAGACACGGCCCAGACUCCUACGGGAGGCAGCAGUAGGGAAUCUUCGGCAAUGGGGGGAACCCUGACCGAGCAACGCCGCGUGAGUGAAGAAGGUUUUCGGAUCGUAAAGCUCUGUUGUUAAGGAAGAACGAGUGUGAGAAUGGAAAGUUCAUACUGUGACGGUACUUAACCAGAAAGGGACGGCUAACUACGUGCCAGCAGCCGCGGUAAUACGUAGGUCCCGAGCGUUGUCCGGAUUUAUUGGGCGUAAAGCGAGCGCAGGCGGUUAGAAAAGUCUGAAGUGAAAGGCAGUGGCUCAACCAUUGUAGGCUUUGGAAACUGUUUAACUUGAGUGCAGAAGGGGAGAGUGGAAUUCCAUGUGUAGCGGUGAAAUGCGUAGAUAUAUGGAGGAACACCGGUGGCGAAAGCGGCUCUCUGGUCUGUAACUGACGCUGAGGCUCGAAAGCGUGGGGAGCGAACAGG
rnacentral:rRNA from 1 species